ensembl:lncRNA
CUCGGAAUCCUCGUGCCUGCUUUGCCGCAGGAAUCUCAGGCUGUUGUUGACCACCAGGAACUGAAACGAGGGAAAGUAUAACCAUGGAUAAGAGAGGAUUACUGCAUAUCUAUACUGUGGGAUUCUACUCAGCAGUAAAAAGAAAUGAGCUAUUGACAUACAUAACAAUGUGGAUGGACCUCUGAGGCUCUACGUUGAAUGAAAAAAAAAAGGUCCAUACCCAGGCUUUGAAGUCCGAGGCAUCAAAUGACACAACUCUGUAUGGCUCCUCAAUUGCAGCCACAGGAAAGAUUCUGGACUGGGACCAUCUAGCUGAGUGACUCCUCCAUUCUUACCUCCAUGAAGAUGUGAUGUCUCCCUCCUCCUCAUGGCUUGUGACUUUGGCCUGCUGCCUGGUGCCACUCUUCCUGGAUUGCACUCCCCAGUGUUGGGCACUCAAAAGGAAAUCAGAUGGAGCCUCGAGAAGGCCACAGUAAUCAGUUCAAUGUGAAAUUAUUACAAUAGAGGUACAGUGCUCUGGAGUGCAGCUUAUCAAGGAGGGAGCAAGCAGAUAAGUUGUACAGCAAGAAGAUGGAGUAGUCACCAGGUUGUUUUGUCAACUGUAAUUGGAUCCCGUACUCUACCCACAAUAAUGGUGUUCCUGGGAAGAAGUCAUGAGCUUUGGGCAUAUGUAACCCUCUUAUGCAUUACUAGUAGUGAGUUGAACAAAAUCCUUCCAGAUUUGCUAAGCUGAGGUCCCAGGCCUCACAGGUUUGUCAAUGACACCAAGGCAAGUCUUGAUUAAGGUUGAUAAUGGUAACUUACAGUUAAUACUGAUGAAAUUAUUACUUUUCAAGCUUUGAUUACAUUAUUUUUUGAGUAGGCCACACUUUAAGAAGAUAUAAAAUAUUGUUCAGUGAAAACUCUUUUCUCCAUCUGUUUCCCUAAACAUGUGUUUCCUUUUCUUGGAGGCAACCAAUACUACAAUUUCUUGAGUCUCUUCCAGAAAUAGUGUAUGCACAGACAAGCACUCACAUAUGCAAUCUUAAAGAAAAUUUGAUUAGUGUCAGAUUUUUAUAUCAAGGAUAACAUUAACAAUGAAUUUUCUUCUCUUCAGGGAGAAAUAGUUAUUAGUUUUUCAAAUUGCAAAAUAAUGCAUAUUCAUUACAGAAAACCUAGAAAAUACAAAAAACAGAAGACAAAAUGAAUAUUCCCUUUAUCUCAGCAUUUGGAGAUGAUUUUUAUUAUUAUUAUUAUUAUUUGGUAUGAGGAAUUGAACUCAGGACCUGUGCUUGCCAGACAGGUGUAGUGCCACUGAGCUAAAUCCCUGGCCCUUUGGAGAUAACUUUUAGUUAUCUAUAAUUAUUUAUAUUGCCUUCUAGUUUUUUCACAUGACAUGUACAAUAUACUUCAUUGACAUUUUUUCUUUUCCCUCACUAUAUUGUUUCUACCUUUGCAAGUCAUUAAAUGUGUUUUCUAGACAUCAUGGCCUGUUCCUGUAUAGCAUAAUUUAUUUAACCAUGAUCUCUUGUUUGAAAUUCAGGUUGACUACAGUUUUGGACCAUUAUAAGCUUUCAUUUGAUGUAUAUUUAGCUUUUAUUUAUUGAUGGCUUUAUAAAUUAAGUGCAAAUUGUCUAGGGAGAAGGCUGUCUUUGUCUUGAUGACAUAUAUCCCUCGAGUACAGUGCCUAGCUAAAUGGAUUUAAUGGUUUUAAGACCAUAUCUGCAAUAAAAAUGAAAGGUUUAAGUAAAAUUAACCAGAAGGUUUUGAGUUUCUGGUGUAAGUUGACUUUUGGAAGAUAGGAUAGUAUUCUUUCACUUAGAGCUACAAAUUCUGUUUGUUCUCUUUUAUAGAAGGAAGAAUUGUGAGUUGGGAUCUUAAAUAGAAGAACAAAGUUAAAAAAUGGGCCUCAAUUUUUAUAAACCUAACCCUCUGCAAUUCCCCUUGUUUUGAGACAAAGGAGAACAUUUUACACCACUGGAAUAAACAAACUGUAGGGAUACCUACACCAGCUGAAAAACAACAGAUAAAACACUCUCUGCACAAGUAAUUGUAAGACCACACCUUUAACACAUUACCAAUAGCUGCUUUCUCAAAACAUUUCCUUGUUCCUUGGGGGAAGUCACUUUUAAAUGAUAGUUAUAGUGCUGGUGAGGUAGCUCAGUGGUAGAGAACUCAAGGCCUUUGGUUCAGUCCCCAGGACCAUCAAAUAAAAAAGGUGAUAGUCCAUAGACAAUUGGGCUCUUGUUUUUUGUUAUUGUAAACUAGGCAACACAAUUUUUGGUACUUGUUCAGUCUGUAAAGAAAUCCUUCCCAUCCCUAACUGUGAGUCUCCACAGUGGAAAGAAAGAAAGGUGCCUCCAGGACAAAGAACAGAUAAAUGAGAAGGAGGACAGAGGACAUUCCAUUCCUAACUCAGCCAAAGGUUGACAUUUCACAAAGAAUAUGUGGACAUCCAUGUUGUGUUGACAAAGCCCCAUGCCUGGGUACCGAGGUGUCCACAAGGAUGAGGGGACACGGAGCGCCCAGUUGUUGUAGCCACAGUAGCAGGGACGAUUGAACACUUGGGCACCUGAUCUUGUUCUUCCUUUCAAAGGAACUUGCACGGUCAUUCAGGCUGGGUUAGAGUUGUGCAGGUGGAAAGAAAUCUGCUGCACACACCUUGGACUUGGAAUACAUUUUCAGAGAGAAGAGAAAUAGUCCCAGGUCCCCUCAUCACUGGAAAACAGACUUUUGACUAACAUGGCAGAAGGAAGAUCUUUCUUGGGUUUGGCCUUGCCUGAAGGUAUAAAAAACACUUCUACUUGUUAAUUUUUUCAUGAUUAUUUUUUAGACACUAAUGGAGAAAGUUCUACUAUUCUCAAAAUGAUAUUUUUACGUUUAAAGCGACUCACAUUUUCCCUCCAAUGCAUCUAACCUCAAUGGACCCAACAUCAGAAAGAAAUUAUAGUUUUGCUUUUGGCAGAAUCAGAUAUAAUCAACAAAAGUUCAUAAAGUCAAGUAAACUUUGAAACAUAUGCCACUGUUCUUUUUAAAAAAAACUUUUGUUUUUAAUUAAUUGUAGACUCACAGGAAGUCAUAAAAAUAAUAUAGAGAGUUCCCUAUAGCUUUUCCUCAGCUUCCAAGCUAACACCUUAUCUAACUGCAGUAUACCAUCAAAACCAUGGAAUUGGCACCAACAUUGCUGCUGUUGCCACAAUUCUAUUUGGACAGCUGAAAGUAUAGAAACUGAAAAUUGAAAACCCUAAAGCCUAAGGAAAAAAAAAGACAUUUCAUCUCCUUCUAAGAUCGACCACUAUCAGGUUCAAGUUCAUGUUGGAUGCUCAUUUUUCAGGUUGCUACACUUGGAAAAGAUAAUCAGUUCUUGUUUUGUUUUUUAAACAUUGAACCUUUAAUUACCCUGAUUUCUCUGUGAAAGAAAAUCUAUUAUAGCUGAAACUCUCUGAUUCAAAGAUUGGAGCUAAUUGUUAACUGGUUCAUUGAAAAUAUAGGAAUGAUUGAGAAAAUAAGAUAGAUUUUAUAUACUGUAUCUAACUUGGCUCGUGUAUAUGUUCAUUCUCUGAUCUUUUGUACAGGGUUGCAGGAAAAAAUUUAGUACUUCGAUGAAAAACUAUGCAGCAUCAACUGUGUACCUUAUCAGAUAGAUUCUAUUGGGGUAAUUUUACAAAUCUGUGCAUUUUAGGUAACUGAUAGACAUGCAAAUUAUUCUGCCUACUUGAGACUGGUUUUCCUCUCCACUGUGGAAAAGCCCAUCGGUAUCUAAUCAAUUUAACAUUGUUCCUUAAAAAUUCAUUCUUCUUGGACUUCUCCUUUGAAGGGUUAUAAUAUUUGCCUGGCUCCUUCAUUUGAUGUAUUUAAUAAAAUUCUUUACAUGUGUUCACUUUUAUAUUUGAAUGAAAGUCAUGAUUUUACCUUUUUAUAAAGCUUAUCUUUCAUCAGGGUUUUUUUCUUUGAACAGUUAUUUACUGGUCAGUUUUUCCUCUUUCAGAAAUUACACUCAGACAACAAUGGUGUCCAGUUUAAUUCUCUGUAAGGUGGAAGCAGACCUUAUGGAUAGGUGCAAGAUAACCUGGGAUCUGAACACUUGUAGAUUU